AGAUGUGAUGGCAAUCUGGCUCUGACAUCUGUCAUCCCAGUGAUUCUCACGGUUGGUGUGGUUUGGCUGGAUAGACAGACCAACGUCCCCUUCCUCCCUCAUUUCUUUCCUCACUACAUGUUUACUUGAAGAAUUAUUUCCACAUCCUCUCAUGGAAAAGGAUCAUUAUUUGGUCAAGGGUGCAUCAGUACCUACAUUCCACUGAUAGAACUUCCAAACAAGCUCUUAAGAAUCUGUUUUUUCCCUUCUUAACUAGCAUUGUAUGUUGAUUUCCCUUUCCUGCCUUGGUGAGAACGAAUAG
rnacentral:sRNA from 1 species